GCCCGAGUGGCGGAAUUGGUAGACGCGCUGGUCUCAAAAACCAGUUCCAAUUUUGGAGUGCCGGUUCGACCCCGGCCUCGGGUA
rnacentral:tRNA from 1 species